CCCAGCUGUAGGCAACUGCCUAGGCUACCUUGUACCUAGACAAGUGUUACAGUGCUGGGAGAAAAGCAGCCAGUAGCUGAGAAUCAUUCUGAGCCUGGUUAAUGCCAAAUUUGUGUUAACUAU
ensembl:snoRNA SNORA74 Small nucleolar RNA SNORA74